rnacentral:rRNA from 1 species
UACAGAGGGUGCAAGCGUUAAUCGGAAUUACUGGGCGUAAAGCGCACGCAGGCGGUCUGUCAAGUCGGAUGUGAAAUCCCCGGGCUCAACCUGGGAACUGCAUUCGAAACUGGCAGGCUAGAGUCUUGUAGAGGGGGGUAGAAUUCCAGGUGUAGCGGUGAAAUGCGUAGAGAUCUGGAGGAAUACCGGUGGCGAAGGCGGCCCCCUGGACAAAGACUGACGCUCAGGUGCGAAAGCGUGGGGAGUAAACAGG